GAUGAACGCUGGCGGCGUGCCUAAUACAUGCAAGUCGAGCGAACAGAUGAGGAGCUUGCUCGUCUGACGUUAGCGGCGGACGGGUGAGUAACACGUGGAUAACCUACCUAUAAGACGGGGAUAACUUCGAGACUGCGGAGCUAAUACCGUAUAAGAUCUUGAACCGCAGGGUUCAAUAGUGAGAGACGGUGUUGCUGUCACGUAUAGAUGGAUCGGGGCCGCAUUAGAUAGUUGGUAGGGUAACGGCUUUUCAAGGCUACGAUGCGUAGCCGACCUGGGAGGGGGGUAGGCGGCCCGAGAGGGGGACCGGCGACCAGGGGCCUGCGGGAGGGCGCAGUGGGGAACCUGACGCAACAGGCGAGAGCAUGACGGAACAGGGCCGCGUGAGUGAUAGAGGUCUUCGGAUCGUAAAACUCUGUUAUUAGGGAAGAACAAAUGUGUAAGGAGACAUGCCCGGCGUGACGGUACCUAAUCAGAAAGCAACGGCUAACUACGUG
rnacentral:rRNA from 1 species